UGAGCGGGGGACAACAUUGGAAACGAAUGCUAAUACCGCAUAACAACUUUAAACACAAGUUUAAGUUGAAAGAUGCAAUUGCAUCACUCAAAGAUGAUCCCGCGUUGUAUUAGCUAGUUGGUGAGGUAAAGGCUCACCAAGGCGAUGAUACAUAGCCGACCUGAGAGGGUGAUCGGCCACAUUGGGACUGAGACACGGCCCAAACUCCUACGGGAGGCAGCAGUAGGGAAUCUUCGGCAAUGGACGAAAGUCUGACCGAGCAACGCCGCGUGAGUGAAGAAGGUUUUCGGAUCGUAAAACUCUGUUGGUAGAGAAGAACGUUGGUGAGAGUGGAAAGCUCAUCAAGUGACGGUAACUACCCAGAAAGGGACGGCUAACUACGUGCCAGCAGCCGCGAUAAUACGUAGGUCCCGAGCGUUGUCCGGAUUUAUUGGGCGUAAAGCGAGCGCAGGUGGUUUAUUAAGUCUGGUGUAAAAGGCAGUGGCUCAACCAUUGUAUGCAUUGGAAACUGGUAGACUUGAGUGCAGGAGAGGAGAGUGGAAUUCCAUGUGUAGCGGUGAAAUGCGUAGAUAUAUGGAGGAACACCGGUGGCGAAAGCGGCUCUCUGGCCUGUAACUGACACUGAGGCUCGAAAGCGUGGGGAGCAAACAGGAUUAGAUACCCUGGUAGUCCACGCCGUAAACGAUGAGUGCUAGAUGUAGGGAGCUAUAAGUUCUCUGUAUCGCAG
rnacentral:rRNA from 1 species